AGAGUUUGAUCAUGGCUCAGAUUGAACGCUGGCGGCAGGCCUAACACAUGCAAGUCGAGCGGUAACAGGGGAAGCUUGCUUCUCGCUGACGAGCGGCGGACGGGUGAGUAAUGUAUGGGGAUCUGCCCGAUAGAGGGGGAUAACUACUGGAAACGGUAGCUAAUACCGCAUAAUCUCUCAGGAGCAAAGCAGGGGAACUUCGGUCCUUGCGCUAUCGGAUGAACCCAUAUGGGAUUAGCUAGUUGGUGAGGUAAUGGCUCACCAAGGCGACGAUCCCUAGCUGGUCUGAGAGGAUGAUCAGCCACACUGGGACUGAGACACGGCCCAGACUCCUACGGGAGGCAGCAGUGGGGAAUAUUGCACAAUGGGCGCAAGCCUGAUGCAGCCAUGCCGCGUGUAUGAAGAAGGCCUUAGGGUUGUAAAGUACUUUCAGUUGGGAGGAAGGCGUUGAUGCUAAUAUCAUCAACGAUUGACGUUACCAACAGAAGAAGCACCGGCUAACUCCGUGCCAGCCGCCGCGGUAAUAC
rnacentral:rRNA from 1 species